GUUUGUUUACUAUAUAUGUGGAAUGACAUGUUGGAAGGCCUUUGAUGGACAAUAUGUAACUUUUGCAGGUUUGCAGUAUUUCACAUGUGUGGAUUCAGAGAAAACAAUCCAUUUCUUUGGAGCACCUCUGAAUUUCUUGUCUGCAUUGGGAAUCAUUGGCAAGCUAAAUCUUUGAUAAAAAGUCUGAUACCUGAAGCCCCAGACUGGCACUAGCUAGAAAAGAGAUGCGAUACCAGGUUUCGGCAAAGCUUGCUUGGGUAUCUGAGGAGGUUCUUUUUGAGACAUGAUUUUAUCAAUUGUGGAUGUACCAGUAAGUUCCACUCUGAAUGUCUAAAACCAGGCAAAGUAGUGUUGAUUCUUCAAGAAGUAAAUAUGCAAAAGAAUAGCAGAUUGGAAUUUACAGACAGGUCCCAGAAUCAACUACAGCUUCAGUGGUAAGGUAGCAAAUGAAGAAGACAAUGUAUUUGUACUUGAAAAUUACAUCUUUACCUUGAUCACAGUACUGUGGUGAACCCAUAUUGCAGACUUGACUCUCCAAACGUCCCUUCGAACCACUACAAUCCUUAUUUGGCAAAUACGAACAAUGUGAAAGUAUGGAGAAAAAAUGCUGCAGAUUUAAGUCUUGACAUCACAUUUAAAGGAAGUGAUUUGCUUAUCUGCAGUACCUGUCAUAUUUUGACUUCAUCCUUUCUGAUGAUGAAAAGCAGCAAAGGAAACACAGUAGUCAGAAUGCCAGGUUUUCCAGGUUGGAGAAUUCACAGCAGUAACCGUCUCUACUCUUUGGAUUAUUUUUCUUCCUAA
rnacentral:lncRNA from 1 species